rnacentral:rRNA from 1 species
UACGAGGGGGGCAAGCGUUGUUCGGAAUUAUUGGGCGUAAAGGGUGCGUAGGCGGUUUGGUAAGUCUUAUGUGAAAUCUACAGGCUCAACUUGUAGUCUGCAUGAGAAACUGCCGGGCUUGAGUAUGGGAGAGGUGAGUGGAACUCCUGGUGUAGCGGUGAAAUGCGUAGAUAUCAGGAGGAACACCUGUGGCGAAAGCGGCUCACUGGACCAUAACUGACGCUGAUGCACGAAAGCUAGGGGAGCAAAACAGG